rnacentral:rRNA from 1 species
UACGAAGGGGGCUAGCGUUGUUCGGAAUUACUGGGCGUAAAGCGCGCGCAGGCGGUCUUCCAAGUCAGUGGUGAAAGCCCGGAGCUCAACUCCGGAACUGCCAUUGAAACUGUAAGACUUGAGGAUGAGAGAGGUGAGUGGAAUUCCCAGUGUAGAGGUGAAAUUCGUAGAUAUUGGGAAGAACACCGGUGGCGAAGGCGGCGACCUGGGUCGACACUGACGCUGAGGCGCGAAAGCGUGGGGAGCAAACAGG